rnacentral:rRNA from 1 species
AUGGUUGUCGUCAGCUCGUGCCGUGAGGUGUCGGCUUAAGUGCCAUAACGAGCGCAACCUUGUCGUUAGUUACCAUCAAGUAAAGUUGGGGACUCUAGCGAGACUGCCACCGUAAGGUGUGAGAAGGGGGGGAUGACGUCAAAUCAGCACGGCCCUUACGUCCGGGGCGACACACGUGUUACAAUGGUAGGUACAGAGGGGCGCUAUCCAGUGAUGGAGUGCGAAUCUCAAAAACCUAUCUCAGUUCGGAUUGGAGUCUGCAACUCGACUCCAUGAAGUUGGAUUCGCUAGUAAUCGCGCAUCAGCCAUGGCGCGGUGAAUACGUUCCCGGGCCUU